CGGGCCGUGUACUCCCAGAUGGCCUCCGGGUCGAUCAGGGACUGCUCCCCGAAGUACGCGCCGUCGGCGAGGACGCCGAGCACCGCGUCGUCCCCGUAGGGACCGGUGCCGAUCUUCUCGACCUUGCCGUGCGCCAGCAGGAACACCUCGUCGGCCUGGCUCCCGAACGAGGCCAGUACGUCACCCGGGACGAACUCGCGCUGUCGGCACCGGGCCGCGAGCUCGGCCAGCACCUCCUGGUCCUCGUACGACCGCAGGACGGACAGCUCGCCCAGUUCCGCGGGGAUGACCUGGACCUGGUCCCCUGUCUUCACGAACGUCACGCGGCCGUCGCCCACGGAGUAGCUGAGCCGCCGGUUCACGCGGUACGUGCCACCCUGCACGUUCACCCACGGAAGCAUGCGCAGCAGCCACCGCGAGCUGAUCUCCUGCAUCUGUGGCGCGGACUUGGUGGUGGUGGCCAGGUUCCGCGCGGCUGAUGUGCCGAGACUCUGCUGCGGACGGUUCUG
rfam:Streptomyces sp. M41(2017) strain M41 M41_contig1, whole genome shotgun sequence.